rnacentral:rRNA from 1 species
ACGGGAGGCAGCAGUGGGGAAUAUUGCACAAUGGGCGAAAGCCUGAUGCAGCGACGCCGCGUGAACGAAGAAGUAUUUCGGUAUGUAAAGUUCUAUCAGCAGGGAAGAUAAUGACGGUACCUGACUAAGAAGCACCGGCUAAAUACGUGCCAGCAGCCGCGGUAAUACGUAUGGUGCAAGCGUUAUCCGGAUUUACUGGGUGUAAAGGGAGCGUAGGCGGUAUGCUAAGUCUGAUGUGAAAGCCCGAGGCUCAACCUCGGUACUGCAUUGGAAACUGGUAAACUAGAGUGUCGGAGGGGUAAGUGGAAUUCCUAGUGUAGCGGUGAAAUGCGUAGAUAUUAGGAGGAACACCAGUGGCGAAGGCGGCUUACUGGACUGUAACUGACGUUGAGGCUCGAAAGCGUGGGGAGCAAACAGGAUUAGAUACCCUGGUA